CUGAAUUAAACAGAAAGCAGCUGGCUUAGAGAAUUACACAUUGGCGAAUAAAUCCGUCAGGAAAGCCUAGAUUUAUAUUACUGUCAGUCUGCUGGAAGCCAAAGGCUAGCAGGGAAUGAUGGGAAUUGUAGUUCAUCAACUUUUGCAUCCCAGCUCUGAAUGUCUGUUGGAAACAGUUCAGUUUAUUAUCACUAUUCAAUGGAUUUCAAUGGCUUUCACUGCCCUCCUCUCCUCCCCAACAGAGCCUGUGAAAUUGUCACACUCAAUUCUAAAAUGUAUCAUCG